AGCUAGUUCAGUUCGGACUCUGCCAUGCAGAGAAUCCCAAUCCACAGCUGCACCAGCUGUUUCACAGGACACACUGGUUGUGCCCCUCUGAGUCGUUCCCACUCCGAGGGGACUGAAACCCAAACCCUAUUUGUAUGGAGAAGAAAAUCCCGUCGGAGACCAUGGUGCCCGUGCGGAGGAGCAUGGCGAAGCCAGCGGCAAGUGAAGCUCCCCGGAGUGAGGCUGCUCACCGAGGAACUCCCCGCAAGGAGAGCUCGGGCGCUAGCAGAGACUGCUGUGCGCCUCCUCAAUUAAGCAGCCAAGACGUGCUGAAUAAUAAAUGAGCGCAGAAAGGCCUGGGCGGCGGCUGGGACCGCGUCCCCUGGUAAUGCUGUGAGGGCAGCGCCGGCAGAGCGCUCCAGCCCCGGGCUCUGCCAGAGCAGCUCCUGUCAAUAGAGCCCGGCUCUCACCAUAGCCGGUGCCUUCUACCCUUGCAGCGCUGGUGGGGAGGACCAAGCCUCAGGACUCAAGCAUCCCACUGUCCCCCUCCUUCACCGCUCUGCUCACAGCUGCCAGUUCAUGUCGUCUUUUCAUCUCCAAUACAUAGAUUGCUGUCCGCCCUAAAUGAGUUAUGGGGGGCUUUAUGUAUACAUCUGAGAAUAAAGUGCAUGCUAAUUAAAAGACAUGACAUCAAACAAGACCAUCAAGUGUCUGUUACAUUAAAUGAGGUGGAUGAGUCCCC